CUCGUAGGCGGUUUGUCGCGUCUGUCGUGAAAGUCCGGGGCUUAACCCCGGAUCUGCGGUGGGUACGGGCAGACUAGAGUGCAGUAGGGGAGACUGGAAUUCCUGGUGUAGCGGUGGAAUGCGCAGAUAUCAGGAGGAACACCGAUGGCGAAGGCAGGUCUCUGGGUUGUAACUGACGCUGAGGAGCGAAAGCAUGGGGAGCGAACA
rnacentral:rRNA from 1 species